AUUGAACGCUGGCGGCAGGCCUAACACAUGCAAGUCGAACGAGUGGCGGACGGGUGAGUAAUGGCGGGGAAACUGCCUGAUGGAGGGGGAUAACUACUGGAAACGGUAGCUAAUACCGCAUACCAUCAGAUGUGACUCGAUGGGACUAGCUGGUAGGUGGGGUAACGGCUCACCGAGGCGACGAUCCCUAGCUGGUCUGAGAGGAGGACCAGCAACACUGGAACUGAGACACGGUCCAGACUCCUACGGGAGGCAGCAGUGGGGAAUAUUGCACAAUGGGGGCAAGCCUGAUGCAGCCAUGCCGCGUGUAUGAAGAAGGCCUUCGGGUUGUAAAGUACUUUCGGCGGGGAAGCGUUACCCGCAGAAGAAGCACCGGCUAACUCCGUGCCAGCAGCCGCGGUAAUUC
rnacentral:rRNA from 1 species